rnacentral:rRNA from 1 species
GACAGAGGGUGCAACGUUGUUCGGAUUUACUGGGCGUAAAGCGCGUGUAGGCGGCUUGGCAAGUUGGAUGUGAAAGCCCACGGCUCAACCGUGGAAGCCGCAUCCAAAACUGCUUCGCUCGAGUCUCGGAGAGGAAGGUGGAAUGCUUGGUGUAGAGGUGAAAUUCGUAGAUAUUCGGAGGAACACCAGUGGCGAAGGCGGCUCACUGGCCAUUACUGACGCUGAGGUGCGAAAGCGU